rnacentral:rRNA from 1 species
AGAGUUGAUCCUGGCUUAGGAUUAACGCUGGCGGCGUGCCUAAUACAUGCAAGUCGAAUGGUAGCAAUACCAUGGCGAACGGGUGAGUAACACGUAGGUAACCUGUCUUUAAGCCGAGGAUAACCAUUGGAAACGAUGGAUAAUACUGGAUAGGACAUUUGAAGGCAUCUUUAAAUGUUUAAAGAUUUAUCACUUAGAGAGGGGCCUGCGGCGCAUUAGCUAGUUGGUGAGGUGAAGGCUUACCAAGGCGAUGAUGCGUAGCCGGACUGAGAGGUUGAACGGCCACAAUGGAACUGAGAACGGUCCAUACUCCUACGGGAGGCAGCAGUAGGGAAUUUUCGGCAAUGGGCGGAAGCCUGAACCCGAGCAACGCCGCGUGAACGAAGAAGUAUUUCGGUAUGUAAAGUUCUUUUAUUAGGGACGAAAAGACAGAUUGACGGUACCUAAUGAAUAAGCUCCGGCUAACUACGUGCCAGCCGCUGC